UCCCAAAAGGCAUGAGCCACUGCGCCU
rnacentral:piRNA from 1 species